ensembl:snRNA U6 U6 spliceosomal RNA
AUAUUCCCUCUGGCAACAAAUAUACUAAAAUAGGAAUGGCACAGAGAAGAUUAGCCCCUGUGCAAGAAUGACAAGCAAAUUCAUGAAGCAUUCACAUUAAAA